rnacentral:rRNA from 1 species
AGCAUGUGGUUUAAUUCGAUGGUACGCGAGGAACCUUACCUGGGCUUGACAUAUGGAGGGAUCGGGCAGAGAUGUCCGAGCUUCGCAAGAAGCCUCUAUACAGGUGCUGCAUGGCUGUCGUCAGCUCGUGCCGUGAGAUGUUCGGUUAAGUCCGCUAACGAGCGCAACCCUCGUCGUAUGUUAUAUGUGUCAUACGAGACUGCCGGUAAAAGCCGGAGGAAGGUGAGGAUGAUGUCAAGUCAGCAUGACCUUUAUAUCCAGGGCUACACACACGCUACAAUGGUCUGUACAAUGGGUAGCCAAGCCGCGAGGCGGAGCCAAUCCUGAAAGCAGGCCUCAGUUCAGAUUGCAGUCUGCAACUCGACUGCAUGAAGCCGGAGUUGCUAGUAACCGCAGGUCAGCAAUACUGCGGUGAAUACGUUCCCGGGUCUU